rnacentral:rRNA from 1 species
UACGUAGGGACCAAGCGUUGUUCGGAUUUACUGGGCGUAAAGGGCGCGUAGGCGGCGUGUUAAGUCACUUGUGAAAUCUCUGAGCUUAACUCAGAACGGUCAAGUGAUACUGAUGUGCUAGAGUGCAGAAGGGGCAACCGGAAUUCUUGGUGUAGCGGUGAAAUGCGUAGAUAUCAAGAGGAACACCUGAGGUGAAGACGGGUUGCUGGGCUGACACUGACGCUGAGGCGCGAAAGCUAGGGUAGCAAACAGG